CGUGGAGGAAGGUGGGAGUGACGUCAAGUCAUCAUGGCCUUACGACCAGGGCUACACACGUGCUACAAUGGCGCAUACAAAGAGAAGCGACCUCGCGAGAGCAAGCGGACCUCAUAAAGUGCGUCGUAGUCCGGAUUGGAGUCUGCAACUCGACUCCAUGAAGUCGGAAUCGCUAGUAAUCGUGGAUCAGAAUGCCACGGUGAAUACGUUCCCGGGCCGUU
rnacentral:rRNA from 1 species